GACGAACGCUGGCGGCGUGCUAACACAUGCAAGUCGAACGGGGUGCUCUGGAAUGAGUCUUCGGAUGAUUUCCGGGGUUACCUAGUGGCGGACGGGUGAGUAACGCGUGAGCAACCUGCCUUUCAGUGGGGGAUAACAGCUGGAAACAGCUGCUAAUACCGCAUGAUGUACGUUGGGGGCAUCCCUGAUGUAUCAAAGGCGCAAGCCGCUGAAAGAUGGGCUCACGUCUGAUUAGCUAGUUGGUGAGGUAACGGCUCACCAAGGCGACGAUCAGUAGCCGGACUGAGAGGUUGGCCGGCCACAUUGGGACUGAGAUACGGCCCAGACUCCUACGGGAGGCAGCAGUGGGGAAUAUUGGGCAAUGGGCGAAAGCCUGACCCAGCAACGCCGCGUGAAGGAAGAAGGCCUUCGGGUUGUAAACUUCUUUWAUCAGGGACGAAGGAUGUGACGGUACCUGAUGAAUAAGCCACGGCUAACUACGUGCCAGCAGCCGCGGUAAUACGUAGGUGGCGAGCGUUGUCCGGAUUUACUGGGUGUAAAGGGCGCGUAGGCGGGGAUGCAAGUCAGGUGUGAAAUCUAUGGGCUUAACCCAUAAACUGCACUUGAAACUGCAUUUCUUGAGUGAUGGAGAGGCAGGCGGAAUUCCUAGUGUAGCGGUGAAAUGCGUAGAUAUUAGGAGGAACACCAGUGGCGAAGGCGGCCUGCUGGACAUUAACUGACGCUGAUGCGCGAAAGCGUGGGGAGCAAACAGGAUUAGAUACCCUGGUAGUCCACGCCGUAAUCGCUUUUACUAGGUGUGGGGGGACUGACCCCCUCCGUSCCCGGAGUUAACWCAAUWAGUAUUCCA
rnacentral:rRNA from 1 species